rnacentral:rRNA from 2 species
GACGAACCGUGCGAACGUUAUUCGGAAUCACUGGGCUUAAAGCGCGUGUAGGCGGGACGGCACGUCUGUCGCUGAAAUCCCCCGGCUUAACCGGGGAACUGGCGUAGAUACGACCGUCCUGGAGGGGCGUAGGGGGAUCUGGAACUUCCGGUGGAGCGGUGAAAUGCGUUGAGAUCGGAAGGAACGCCCGUGGCGAAAGCGAGGUCCUGGACGCCUACUGACGCUGAGACGCGAAAGCCAGGGGAGCGAACGGG